rnacentral:rRNA from 1 species
AUACGGAGGGUGCAAGCGUUACUCGGAAUCACUGGGCGUAAAGCGCGCGCAGGCGGCUAUUUAAGUUGGAUGUGAAAGCCUAUGGCUCAACCAUAGAACUGCAUCCAAAACUAUUUAGCUAGAGUGUGGGAGAGGAAGAUGGAAUUAGUUGUGUAGGGGUAAAAUCCGUAGAGAUAACUAGGAAUACCAAAAGCGAAGGCAAUCUUCUGGAACACUACUGACGCUGAGGCGCGAAAGCGUUGGGAGCAAACAGGAUUAGAAACCCCAGUAGUCC